rnacentral:rRNA from 1 species
UACGUAGGGCGCGAGCGUUAUCCGGAAUUAUUGGGCGUAAAGAGCUCGUAGGCGGUUUGUCGCGUCUGCCGUGAAAGUCCGGGGCUUAACCCCGGAUCUGCGGUGGGUACGGGCAGACUAGAGUGCAGUAGGGGAGACUGGAAUUCCUGGUGUAGCGGUGAAAUGCGCAGAUAUCAGGAGGAACACCGAUGGCGAAGGCAGGUCUCUGGGCUGUAACUGACGCUGAGGCACGACAGCGUGGGGAGCAAACAGG